rnacentral:rRNA from 1 species
UACGUAGGGUGCAAGCGUUAAUCGGAAUUACUGGGCGUAAAGCGUGCGCAGGCGGUUGUGUAAGACAGAUGUGAAAUCCCCGGGCUCAACCUGGGAACUGCAUUUGUGGCUGCACAGCUGGAGUGCGGCAGAGGGGGAUGGAAUUCCGCGUGUAGCAGUGAAAUGCGUAGAUAUGCGGAGGAACACCGAUGGCGAAGGCAAUCCCCUGGGCCUGCACUGACGCUCAUGCACGAAAGCGUGGGGAGCAAACAGG